AUUGAUCCGGGAGGAUCCCAGGAGGAGCAGGGGUUGGUUCAGGGCGGAUCCCAGAUCCGGGAGGAUCCCAGAGGAUCCCGGAGGAUCCCAGGAGGAUCAGGAGAGGAUUCCAGGAGGAUCCCAGGAGGAUCAGGGGUUGUUUCAGGGUGGAUCCCAGAUCCCGGGGGGAUCCCAGGAGGAUCAGGGGUUGGUUCAGGGUGGAUCCCAGAUCCCAGGAGGAGCAGGGAUUGAUCCAGGGGGGAUCCCAGAUCCAGGGGGGAUCCCAGGAGGAUCCCAGGAGGAUCCCAGACCCAGGGGAGAUCCCGGGAGGGUCAGGGAUUGGUUCAGGGGGGAUCCCAAAAACCCCAGAUCCCAGGAGGAGCAGGGAUUGAUCCAGGGAGGAUCCCAGAUCCUGGAGGAUCCCAGGAGGAUCCCGGAUGGAUCAGGGGUUGGUUCAGGGUGGAUCCCAGAUCCCAGGCAGAUCCCAGAUCCCAGAGGAUCCCGGGUGGAUCCCAGGUGGAUCAGGGGUUGGUUCAGGGAGGAUCCCAGGAGGAUCAGGGGUUGAUUCAGGGUGGAUCCCAGAUCCUGGAGGAUCCCGGGAGGAUCAGGGGUUGGUUCAGCGUGGAUCCCAGAUCCUGGAGGAUCCCAGAGGAUCCCAGGAGGAUCCCAGGAGGAUCCUGGGAGGAUCCCGGGAGGAUCCCAGGAGGAUCCCAGGGGGAUCAGGGGUUGUUUCAGGGCGGAUCCCAGAUCCUGGAGGAUCCCAGGAGGAUCAGGGGUUGGUUCAGGGUGGAUCCCAGAUCCCAGGAGGAGCAGGGAUUGAUCCCGGGCAGAUCCCAGGAGGAUCAGGGGUUGUUUCAGGGCGGAUCCCAGAUUCCAGGAGGAUCCCAGGAGGAUCAGAGGAGGAUCCCAGGAGGAUCAGGGGUUGUUUCAGGGUGGAUCCCAGAUCCUGGAGGAUCCCAGGAGGAUCCCAGGAGGAUCCCGGGUGGAUCAGGGG